GAAAAGUUUGAUUCUUUCUUAAAAUCUCGUGCUUUUAUUAAGAUUAUAUGAAGAUUAAAGUGAGUAUGUGUGAAAAAGUUUAAAACUCUUUCCUUUUUCGUUUUAAAGACUUGUUAGUCUAUGUUUGUAAAUCUCAGUAUAUAAUAUUGGUAAAUAUAUGAAAGUAAGAGCCAGUAGUAAUUUAAGGCCUGAUAAAAAAUUGUGCCAGCAGUCGCGGUUAAACUUUAAGGUCAAGCGAGAUUAUGUUGGAAUUAGUUAGAUGAUAAGUCAAGAUUAAUUUUAUAGGAAUAAAAGGUGAAAUUAGUUUGUUCCAAAUAAAAAAUAAUUUACGACUCAAGUUGAAGCUAAAAAAUUUUAGACAAAAACUAGGAUUAGAUACCCUACUAUUCUAAAAUUUAAUUAUAAUAACCUGAUGAUUAAUAGAUAGUUUCUUAAAAUUUGAAGAAUUUGGCGGUAAUUUAGUCUUGUCAGAGGAACCUGUUCUUUAAUCGACAAACCACGUAGAAUUUCACUUGCUUUUAAAGUUUGUAUACCGUCAUUAUCAGAUAAUUUUUAGAGAAUAAAUUGUCGAUUUUUGAAUUAAAUUAAUAAAAAUUAGAUCAAGGUGCAGCUAAUAAGUAAGUUAGAAUGGGUUACAAUAAAUUUCAUUUAAUACGGAGUUAUACUUGAAAUAGUAUUAUAAAGGAGGAUUUGAUUGUAAUGUAGAUUUAAUAAGUCAUAAAGAUAUAAGCUCUAAAUUGUGUACAUAUCGCCCGUCGCUCUCGUUAUAAAAAUGAGAUAAGUCGUAACAAAGUAGAUUUACUGGAAAGUGAAUCUAGUAU
rnacentral:ncRNA from 1 species